CCUACGGGAGGCAGCAGUGGGGAAUAUUGGGCAAUGGGCGCAAGCCUGACCCAGCAACGCCGCGUGAAGGAAGAAGGCUUUCGGGUUGUAAACUUCUUUUCUCAGGGACGAAGCAAGUGACGGUACCUGAGGAAUAAGCCACGGCUAACUACGUGCCAGCAGCCGCGGUAAUACGUAGGUGGCAAGCGUUGUCCGGAAUGACUGGGCGUAAAGGGAGUGUAGGCGGCUCAUCAAGUUAGAUGUGAAAUCCCGCGGCUUAACCGCGGAACUGCAUCUAAAACUGGUAAGCUGGAGUGCAGGAGAGGUGAGUGGAAUUCCUAGUGUAGCGGUGGAAUGCGUAGAUAUUAGGAGGAACACCAGAGGCGAAGGCGACUCACUGGACUGUAACUGACGCUGAGGCUCGAAAGCGUGGGGAGCAAACAGGAUUAGAUACCCCUGUAGUC
rnacentral:rRNA from 1 species